rnacentral:snoRNA from 1 species
GCAGAUUCACUCUGCAUCCAGCAAGUGCUUCUUUUGUCUGUCAGAGGACAUUCCAGGGUGCUGUGGCCACCUUAACUUGUCAAGAGUGAUGCAGCUGCAUUGGGAACACAGGA